rnacentral:rRNA from 1 species
AUUGAACGCUGGCGGCAGGCCUAACACAUGCAAGUCGAACGGUAACAGGAAGAAGCUUGCUUCUUUGCUGACGAGUGGCGGACGGGUGAGUAAUGUCUGGGAAACUGCCUGAUGGAGGGGGAUAACUACUGGAAACGGUAGCUAAUACCGCAUAACGUCGCAAGACCAAAGAGGGGGACCUUCGGGCCUCUUGCCAUCGGAUGUGCCCAGAUGGGAUUAGCUAGUAGGUGAGGUAACGGCUCACCUAGGCGACGAUCCCUAGCUGGUCUGAGAGGAUGACCAGCCACACUGGAACUGAGACACGGUCCAGACUCCUACGGGAGGCAGCAGUGGGGAAUAUUGCACAAUGGGCGCAAGCCUGAUGCAGCCAUGCCGCGUGUAUGAAGAAGGCCUUCGGGUUGUAAAGUACUUUCAGCGGGGAGGAAGGGAGGAAAGUUAAUACCUUUGCUCAUUGACGUUACCCGCAGAAGAAGCACCGGCUAACUCCGUG